UCCUCUGAAAGUUAGUUUUUUCUGACCUCCAGGUAUGUACAGGUGAACUUCAGGACUUUACUGUUGUAAUGUAAACUACAGAGUAAUGUUGGUUUUUCAGUAAACACACAACAAGUGGAAUUUUCAUUUUAUCAAGUAUGAAAGGAUUAAUUGGAUGCUUAUUACUUUUAGAAUGACGAU